CUUUCCACAGCAUCAGCUUCAGUGCACCUUGGCUAAAGUCCUUCCGACAUCAUAGGCUGAUAUAAUCAUGAAGGACUGCAAACUCUAAAAUGCAAGACCCUACCUUGAGAGUGGAAACAAAACCUCCAUGCCUUCUCAACUGUGCCACACAGAAUGCCCCACCCCCACCCCUCUGGUCGUCCGUUGCUUGGCUAACUCCAAGUGUUCCAGACCAGGGGGAUUGGACAUCUUUGUGUGUGUAUACCUCUUCCUAUAUUUUACCAGAAGUUCACUCUCCUGAUUUCUUCCUGCCUCUUCUUUCACUGAGAAAAAUGGAAGCAAUCCAAUGAGUACUUCUACAUGUAGAUGCCAGAGGAACUUCAUUCAAAUAGCCUGUCCUGACCUUUGUUUCCUGCCUUCAACCUCUUCUUGCAGUCAUAGGACAGCAACUAAAAAACAAAGUUCAUUCAACUUACAACUUGCAUAUUUGC